AAUAUUAUUUAUUAAUAUUUCCAGCCAAAUUUAUCUUAAAAAAGUUGACAUGAAUAAGGGAAGUUAUUUUUUUAAUAAGAAAAUAUGUCAUAUUAUCAUAAAUUUUUCAAUAUUCUCCCUUUCCAUUUGUUCUCUUUCCUCCCUCUUACCCGCAUACUCUUUCCUCCCCCUUAGCAUAGAUUUAAUUAAAAUCCUCUAAGAAAUAAAUAGUUGACAAGAGAAGCUCUAAUGUAGACCCUAUCCAGUCUCUUUGACAUUACUCCAUGACUCCAAAACCCAUAGCGCAUGGUUGAGAGUUAUUA
rnacentral:misc_RNA from 1 species